rnacentral:tRNA from 14 species
GGGCUAGUGGCGCAAUGGAUAACGCGUCUGACUACGGAAUGAGAAGAUUCUAGGUUCGACUCCUUGCUAGCUCG